AUUAGCCUUCUUUAGUACACUGCAAUUUACGAAGGUAUGUAUAACAGGAUGUGGCCUGAGAGAUAAGAAAGUCAUCAUAUAUUAUAAAUAUUUCACUGCUAUCAGUGCUAGUGAUGUUUAUGGCUAUUCUGUCAUAACGAGAGAUUUUAGACAGCCAUGUUACUAGCGGUCAUAAUUCUUCUGACAUUUGAAACAUGUCAUGCUGCUACAAGCAAUGGGACCCACUGGAUUGUCGUUCCUGACAAGUGCACGCCUGGAGUUCCGCUUCCGGUGACCUUCACCU